rnacentral:rRNA from 1 species
GACGUAGGGCGCGAGCGUUGUCCGGAUUUAUUGGGCGUAAAGAGCUCGUAGGCGGCUUGUCGCGUCGUCCGUGAAAACUUGGGGCUCAACCCCAAGCUUGCGGUCGAUACGGGCAGGCUAGAGUUCGGUAGGGGAGACUGGAAUUCCUGGUGUAGCGGUGAAAUGCGCAGAUAUCAGGAGGAACACCGGUGGCGAAGGCGGCGCUCUGGGCCGGAACUGACGCUGAGGAGCGAAAGCGUGGGGAGCGAACAGG